UAGUUGGUGGGGUCUCGGCUCACCAAGGCGACGAACAUGAGCCGGCCUGACAAGGUGAUCGGCUGCAACGGAAACGCGACACGGACCCCACUCCUACGGGAGGCAGCAGAGGGGUACAUUGGACAAUGGGGGCAACUCUGAUCCAGCCACGCGCCGUGGAAGAUGCAUGUCUUCGGAUUGCAAUCUUCCUGUCGGAUGAAACUAACGGCUGCUGGUCAAUAUCCCCCCAUCCCUUGACGGUGCCCACCAGACGAAGCCCCCGGCUAACUCCGUGCCCUUGUCCCGCGGUUAUUACGGAGGGGGGCGAGCGUUAUUCGGGAAUUAUUGGGCGUAAAGGGCGCGUAGGCGGUCUGAUCAGUCAUGUGCGUGAAAUCCCCUCGUGCUCACUCCGAGGAAACUGCCCUCUGAAAACUGUCAUCACUUGAGAAACGGGAGAAGUGCAGUGGAAUUUCCCAGGGACCCCGUGAAAUGCGUAGAUAUUGGUGAGGAACACCCGUGGCUGAGGAGCUACCUGGAGCGGUUUCUGACGCUGAAGCGCGACUGUGUGGGG
rnacentral:rRNA from 1 species